rnacentral:ribozyme from 14 species
GGGUUCCUAUUGUCGGUGCCGUUGGGAAGGUCUGUGACUGCGGCGAA